UACAAUGUUGUGUUAGUUUCAGGUGUACAGCAAAAUGAUUUAGUUAUGCAUGUUAUAUAUAUUCUUUUUCAGAUUCUUUUCCAUUAUAGGUUAUUACAAGAUACUGAAUAUAGUUCCCUGUGCUGUACAUGUGCUUCCAUUCAUUUGGUCCUGCUUUACAGUCCAGUAAGCCAAGCUCAGUGAACAUGCUUAUCUCAAAGUUAAAGGAAGAGGCCCUAACUGAAAAAACAGACAAAAAAGAAGAACCUCAUCUGUGACUAUUCUCCCAAUGCUGGCAGGAACUCAAAAUUCAGGAAUCCUGUUGUGUAAAUGUGGUGAGACAAAGCCCCACGUCCCUCCAGGGAACUGGAAGGAGUACUCAUCCCCUCUUCUCACGCCAAGAGGCUGUAAAGUUCAGGAAUGGGCCAAUGAAGACGACACACAUGGCAUUUCUACCUGCCUUACAGCCUGCUGCUGCCGGGAUACUUAAACAACAGUCGAAACGGGAGACCGGCUCUCAAUAUGCAGACGCAUCCCAGGAGCAAUCAUCCCAGUGUUUACGCUACGUUAAGUCAGAGACAACUAGUCAAUGCGAUCUGAGUUCAGCUGCUGACCACCAAAGAAGGACCGCUGCCAACUAUCAGUCGGGACAAUGAGUCGCUUUUGCCCUGGCCACAGGAUCUACCCCCAGGAGAACACAUUAUAAAAUGGCCCUGGGACUGGCAGGGCCUCAUUAACUGCUGCGUGCUUGCCCCCUGCCCCAGCUGCUGGUUUCCCUGGUAACUGAGCCAACUUGAUGUCAAUUCCCCCUAUACACGGUAGCCUCCUUCACCACCCCCCACCCCAACCAGCAACGACUGCUGCCGGGUCCUGCCUGUCGUCUGCCACACACAGUGGGAUGUUGCUCCAGGCCCUUGCUUCAGACGCGUAAGAUCCCCCUGUGCGUGAAACCACUGACGUCUCUGUCGCUGACUCUGAGUUUGCUCUUCUUCAGUCUUGAGGCUGGGCUUGCAGCUCAGCAGUUUCCUGGAAAGUGGCCUCUGGAACUAGAUUGAUGGCAUUCAAAACCCAGCUGUGUCACUUGGCUGUGAGACUUGGCAUGUUACUUAACCUGUCUUUGACUCAGUUUACUCGUCUGUAAAAAUGAGGAUAAUAAUAAUACCACCUGUCUCGUAGGACUGCGAGGAUUAAAUUAGUUACUAUAGCCAAUGUCUGGAACCGCAUGGUAAAGCAUUCAAUAACUUGUCUAUGAUGCUGUCGUUAAGUGAGAAAUCUGACUUUCUGUACUGCACUGGGUUCAAGAGCCAAAGACAGAAUAGCUUGCUUGCUUGUGACCUUUGUUUCUUCUCCUUGAAUUGUUAUUUUUCCAUUUAAAAUAUAAUACACAUAAAGAGAAGACUCACAAUAGCUGACAUGAUUGAUGCUCAUUAAAUGUACCACAGUACUGAGCAUUUUGUAGGCAUUAGUUCACGAAUCAUCACAAUAACUCUAGGAAGUUGAUAGCAGUUUUUAGAUGCAGUGACAGAUUCUUAAAGGAACUAAUAGACCUAACCAAAGUGGCAGAACUUGAACUUAAAAGCAGUCCUGCUUGUCAGACUAUGUACAGAAAACGAACCCAAAUAUUAUCAGUAGUUGUCACUGGAUCAUAAAAUUGGAGUGAUGUUUUAAAAUAUCUGCAUUUAUCCCUGUUUCAUGUAAUAAGAACAUAUUUCUUUGAUAACAAGACAUUAUUUAAGUCUCUAUUUAGAAAUGCUAAUAUCUACACAAUUCAGCUUCACAGUGAAUAGUGGUUACUCUCGUUUCUCACUCCUGUGAACCAAAAAGUAGUCUAUCUUUGAAUUCGUCUUUUUAUCCUCUGCACAAAGCAGUUCUAUUACAGCUUUCUAAAAAUGUUUUAGAAUCUGAAUUCAUCUACUGGUUCUUAGCACAAGUGUAAAAUGCACAGAUUUUUAACAAUUCAAGUGAAAAUCCAGCAUCACGUUUAACUUGGCAUCGGAAGGUCUCCUUGCUUUUACCCAUUACGUCCCUGAGGGAAACCCCCUGACGAGUUUGCACGGGGAUCAGCAACAGAAAAGGGAGGUUAGGUGGAAGCAGAAAUGCAGCCUGGUGACACUCUCAGAGGAGGCAGGUUUGUCCCACACUCAUUCUCUCUCAGAAAUUGUAAGGAAGGGAGAAGAGGAAAGAAAUGCAGCAUGUGACAGAUCAGAUUCAUGGCUAGUGGUCAUGCUUAUUCUAGUGCCUGCCAGGUCCUAGGUGCUUUUUACCAGUGUUAUCCCAUUUUAUCUUCUGAGAUCAGUGUGAAAUGGGUAUUAUUGGUCCCACCUGACAGGUAAGGGCAAUAAGGCUCAGAUCAAGCAGCUCACACAAUCAUGCUUAUGGUAGGUAGCAGACAAGGGAUUUGAAUGCUGGUCUCCAAAUGGCCUACAUUUAAUCUUUAUAUAAUGCUGCCAACCCACUCAUCAUUCCCAGUGCCCGGAAGUAAGAGGCAGUAAUCUAUAAGAAGUAUUAUAUGUAAAAGUAUCCAUAAAUGGGAAUACUGUAACAAAACACUAGUAAAUAAGUAUGGUUCUAUUUGCACACCAAUCUGUACUUCCUUUACUUUUCUAUGUAAGAACCUGUUCUUUGAUUAUAUUUUUCAGCUCAGAUAGUGUCUGAUAAACCUAUGAUCCUUGCUAUGGAGUGCAAGGCAAAUUUUCAUUUAGUGACUUACAAUAAAUAGUAGAUCUGUUUUAUAAAAACAAAUCGUUGGACCCAUGAUAUUACUGUAACUAGAACUAGAGUCCAUAAAUUACCUAAUUAUGUUCUCUGAGUUCUCUGGAAAGACGAUAACCAAUUCUGUGACCCAUCUCUGAGGCUCUCAUCAUCUUUGACGUUUCUGUCAAUUUAUUCUUCUCUGUAUCUGUCAACAUGGAGAUCAAACAGAAGAGUGUGGACUUUAUAUUGCUUUCAGAACUUCAUGAGUGGAUAAGGACAUUUAGACAAUGGAAUAUGUUACCGAAGCACGUUAUGAAGAUUUUUUUUUUCCAAGAGGCUGAGCUGUCAUUUGCCUGGGAUGGUUCAGGACAGUUCUGCCUGGAGGCAGGACUAUGGACUCAUUAACCUUCUAGCCCUGCAACUCUGUCAAUCUCAAUUCUCUCCACAGUUUCAAUCAGAUACAGCUGCCUCUAGUUUCCUCCUGGUUGGUUCAGUGUGGCUGUGUGCUGUUGCAAUUUUCCAUAUUGCAGGAGAAAAAAGCAUCUUCAAUAUAUGUCUGUAGCUGUGCACGAGGCAGUGUGCAUGGUGGCUCUUUCCUCACCCAAAGUCUCAGCGUAAACUAUAUUGAUGAGCCCACAGGGAUAUAGAAAAGCACCAUGGGCCAAAUAUAGAUGAUUCUUAUUAUUUCUCUUUGCAUAUAGAUGAGUACACAGCUGCGGUGCUCUCAGGAGGCCUAGGAGUCAACUUGGUCCAAAGGAAUGACUGUGCUAUUUUUGCACUUUCCCUCAUAUUAUUUCUCAAGGCUUGAGGGAAUUUAAAUGUGACUUACUUGGCAAUGACAAGUCUCUGUCCCCUCGGUACCUCCAGAAUGAGCUCAUUUACACAAGUCACUUCACCAUAGCUCAUUCUGUUUCUUCAUAGAAAAACAGUAUCACUUGGAUGGAAUCUAAAGGAAGGAUGGGUUUUUUUCCCCUUAAAAAUGACUGCUUUUAAAACAUGUUACUAUUAAAUUCAUGGUACUUGUGUGGUGAUUAAUAUGUUUUCUUGAAAGAGACAAGAAUCAUUUCACAGAAGCUUAGUAUUACUAGUGAAGGGAAUGAGGCUCUGAGAAGUUGAAUGACUUGGAUACGGUCUCCCCAUAAACUGGAGGCAUCACCAGGACUAGAAUCCAGCUCUCUGGUGCCCAGGUCCAGAGUUCAAACCUCACUGCCUUCCUCAAGACUCUCUCCACUCCUGAAUGAAACUGAUCUUAACAAUAAAAUCUCUCUUCAAUUAAAUGCUACACUACUUUUAUCAUGAAGUAGAAUUUUGAAACAAGUGAAUGUACUUAUUAGUACACAUAAUGCCUAUUACUAUGAUUCUUACAGAAUUUUAUUUAUGAAACAAUGAAACUUGUCUAUUCUCUUGUGAAAAUCCAUUAAAAGGGAGACAGUAAUCAAGUCAAGCUUAAAAUGCACAAUGAAUUCAAAUUUGGAGAAAAGGGCCAUUCGGAGUCUUUCUCUGUAGAGGGAAUAAUGGAAGGCCUUGGAGGAGGUGGUGACUUGAUUACAGCCAUGGUGCUUUACAGAGUGGGCACUUAGUUAGGGUUUUAAAAUAAUAAAUGAACUUGCUUAUAGGAAUUUCUAAGCUUGUAAGGGACUUUUACAAAUACUAUGGACAAUUCCUGUGCUUUUUAAUAUAUUGAUGUGUAUUUCUGAUAGAAUAUGUUUAAAUGGAAAUCAAGACAACUUUGAACAAACUUCACCUAAAUGAUCAAAAUUCUUUCUCUAGAAUUUCAGGGACUCCUACAAUAGCUGUGUCAAGAUUAAGGUUUCAUCAUUAUCAUGCUGUCAAUACAAUUGGCUGUCACUAUUUUCUUACAUUUGUAGGGAGGUGGAUCAAUAUUUCUAAUGAGAGAGAGAAAUUCAAAUGAUAUAUUUCUCACUUAGCCAAGAUUUUAAAAAGCAAUUUACUGACUUGCUCAUUCAUUCUUUCAACAAAUGCUUAACAUUGCAUGCCUAGUAUGAUAGGCAAUAUAGGAAAGUGAGGACUCUGAAGUCAGAGUACCUGGGUUUUAUGUUCUGGUUUUCUAUUUACUAGAUGUGAUCUUGAGUUAAUCUGUUUCUCAACAUCCUCAUUUGUAAGAAUGGAGGUAAUAAUUAUACCUAUUAUUAUAGAUUAAAUGAUAUUAGAAUGUUUAGAAGAGCAAAUGGUAAGGACGAAAUACCUGUUAGCUGCUGCAGUUAUGUAUUAUGGACUAUGGAUGGAGGAUAAACAGGAUAGAUAUGGGUUUUCCCUUAUGGAGAACAAACGUUAAUAAUGGGAAAAUAAUCAAUAAAUAACUGGAUAAAUAACUCAAACUACAAUUGUGUUAAGUGAUAAGGAAAAUAUAAUGUGAAUAAUACCACAUGGAUAUAACAUCUCUAAAGGGUCAUAUGUCAUUUUCUUCUGCAUUGCAACCCAGAGAAACCACACUUCGCUUUUCUACUCCACACUUUGGUGACUGAGCCUUGAAAUUGUUAUUUCUAGGGUAAAUCAUACCCUUUCAAACAAGUAGCAAAUGGAGUUUCACAUCAGGACCAUGGUGUUGGGCAGACAUCCUCAGAAUAACUUAUUUUCCCACUUUUUCUUUAUGACCAUUUAAAGGUUUAAGAAAGCAAUCCUAAUUUUGUUUUGCUGUAAUUUAAGAUUUAAGGCGUAAAUCUCUGUGGUGCUGCAGAGACCUUUGUCCUAGUGAAGACAAGUACUUCUGGCAAGACAUGAAAAGACCAACUGCCGGUGUUUGUUGAAGAGGAACCCAGUUCCUCCCAUUGUGCAGCAGGUGGCAUAGACAGCCUGAGAGCCGAGGAGGAAACAUACAGUCCCAUUCUCCCAAACAUCCUUAUCUCACUCCGCACUACUGUGCCGUAAUUACCUAGUCCCGUCUCUUCUUUUUCUGCGUCUAUUCUCAGCCUUCUAGGAGUGAGCUGAUUUGGAUAAUCUGCAACAGUAUUAACCAGAUAUCCCUAAAUACAUUUGGCAUUUUUG